rnacentral:rRNA from 1 species
AUUGAACGCUGGCGGCAGGCCUAACACAUGCAAGUCGAGCGGAUGAAGGGAGCUUGCUCCUGGAUUCAGCGGCGGACGGGUGAGUAAUGCCUAGGAAUCUGCCUGGUAGUGGGGGAUAACGUCCGGAAACGGGCGCUAAUACCGCAUACGUCCUGAGGGAGAAAGUGGGGGAUCUUCGGACCUCACGCUAUCAGAUGAGCCUAGGUCGGAUUAGCUAGUUGGUGGGGUAAAGGCCUACCAAGGCGACGAUCCGUAACUGGUCUGAGAGGAUGAUCAGUCACACUGGAACUGAGACACGGUCCAGACUCCUACGGGAGGCAGCAGUGGGGAAUAUCGGACAAUGGGCGAAAGCCUGAUCCAGCCAUGCCGCGUGUGUGAAGAAGGUCUUCGGAUUGUAAAGCACUUUAAGUUGGGGGGAAGGGCAGUAAGUUAAUACCUUGCUGUUUUGACGUUACCAACAGAAUAAGCACCGGCUAACUUCGUG